GUGCUCUUGUGGCCCAUGAAAUCAAGCUUGGGUGAGACCUGGUGCAGAACAGGAAGGCGACCCAUACUUGGUUUCAGUGGCUGCAAGAAUGACGUCAU
rnacentral:pre_miRNA from 1 species